UUGGGCCUGGUUGAGCCGCCCGAGAAGACCGCCCCCCACCGUGUCGUCCGUCAUGGCAGCUGACACCCACUCGUCUUUCCACAUCGUUGCCACCACCGCUAACGAAGCUGGCAGUAAAGAGAGGAGGAGGUAGAUUGAGAAAGAAAAGAGAGUAAGAGGCGGAAGAGGGGCAGAAUGAAAAAAGGAGCAGAGAAGGGUUGGGUGAGGAUUGAGGAGGAAGAAUGAGAGAAAUAACAAAGGAGGUUAGGGGAAAGGGCGGAGGAUUAUAUAUAUAAUUUAUAUCUGAGGAGGAGAUGGGGAAAAGGGUGGAAGGAGAGGGGGGGUUUCUGGCUUUAAUG
rnacentral:lncRNA from 1 species